CCGCUGCUUUCGGCAGCUCCCUAACCUCCAUAUCGGCUUCCCCAUCCCUGAGCGGGGCUGGGAGCACUACCCGGCCAUCAGGUUUUGACCUUUCAAUAGAGAGCUGAUUUUGGAGAACGACUUACUCCUGUGAUUGAAAAACUCUCUGGAAGGUUGAUGGAGCAUGAGCUUGCUUGAUUUUUGGCCCUAAAUCAAAGAAAUAAGUUCUGUCUUUAACAUUAAAGCUGUCUUCAGAGUUCUGUUUAUUUUAACAAAGCAAGAACAAAUGUGUAAGUACCAGCAAUGUGCAGAGCAAUAUUGCAAUAUCGGUCUGUUCUGUGUUAAGCAGGUGGUUUCAUGUGGCAGGCUGGAAGAGAGACUCUUUUUCUUCCCAGCUUUUGACAAAAAGAUGACGCAUAUGACUCAGA